CGCCUCCUCCCUCCCACGCAGCCGCCUCCCUCCCUCACUCGCUCCUCAUCCGGCGACGGCGGCGGCGGCUCCCACGCCCGCGUUCUUCCUCCCCCAACACGACCCCGCUCGGCCCCGCACGCCUAGGCGGCUUCCACCAACCACGGCGACGGCGCAGCGGCCACGGAGGAGGGCGGCGGAUCAGCGGCGCCGGCGAUGGCGUCCGUGGCAGCGGUGGAGGGCGCGGCCCGAGCCCGCCAUCGCUGCUCUGCCCUCCCUCUCUCCGAACCGACCCGCCACCCUCCUCUGCAUCUUCGCCACCGGCCAUGUCCGCCCCCACCAGCAGCUUGGCCCGGCACCGAGCGACGCCGGUCGGGACGAGCGGCGGCCGUGGCGACGAACGCUGCUGCUCUUCCGCUUCCUCGAACUCCAAGAUGCGGGACACGGAUCCGUGGUCGCCUUCUUCCGCAAACAGCCGCGGUGCCCGCUGUCGGCGUCAGACUUCCAAGCAAGUGAGGAUGACCACGAUGCGGAGGAGGACGAAGACCCGAGCUCGAGCCCGACCACGACGCACCGCACAAGGUCCCUGCUUCCUUCCUGACGGCAAUGGAUCCCUUCCUUGCAGUUGCCUGGGUUGCUGACGAGAUCCAUCUGCCCGGCUGGAGCAUGCUAUUCACUUGAUGGAAGCCAGCCCAAUUGUAGAGUGGGAAGGGAAUUGGUUGGAGCACCGCAGCCUCUUGCGCCAUGGACAGUCACAUGUUGCUCCACUUCAAGAGAUCGUCCAAUGUGGCCGUGGAGAUCCUGUCACCCCACGAGAGCUCUCUGCUGUUAUAUCGCGGAAGUUCCGUUUCAUGGUCUCCAUAUCAAGCAAGUGUUUCACGAGUGAUGAUGAUGACCUGUCAUUCCAAGUACUUAGGAUUGACACACCUCUUGGAAAGCUGCCACGGUCUUCUGUGGUGUAUGGGGCUUAAAGUGUUACGACUGGAUCAACUAGCUCAAGCUCCUUGCCCAAUGACACUUCUCCUGCUCCAAGGGUGCUAGGUACGCCAUCCAGAAAUAUGGCGUCGAGCAGCUCCACUCCCCUGCCUUUAAUCACCAUGACCCCUGAGGUCCAUUCCUUUUUUUCUAACAAGUGCUCUUCUAGGUUGAUUACUUGCCCUGUUUCUGUGAUUUUUCCUAUUAUUUAAUCCUGAUUGUUAUCUAAUUAGAGUCAUGCUCUUCUACCUACUUUAUCUUCGCCUCCUUCCAUCAGGAAGCCAUCUGUGACUGGGUCCACCGCACAACUCCACUCAACUUGACAUUCGUAUAAGUUAUUGACGCACCAUUGUAUUUCAUAUGUGUUUCCUCUUUCCUUAACAGCGGCGUGGCCUCUGAAAUUAAAUCAAAGUUUCAGCGGGUUCUUUUUAAAGACAAUGAAGCUGUCUCAAAUGUCAACCCAGUAUCUGAUCUAAUCGACGAUGAGCUUGUUGAUGCAGAUGGCGAGGGCUUGGUUACUUCCAGAUCAUCUGUGUUUUGAAGCAUACACUUUCUGUCUAUGCUUACUUAUUUUACGCUUGGUUACUUCCAGAUCAUCUGUCUUUUGAAGCACACACUUUCUGUCUAUGCUUACUUAUUUUACGCGUGUUUCCUCCCAGUCUGGUGAAACACUAGGUUCAGUUAAUGAGUCUAUUGCUGGAAAGGAGAAGACACCACAACUUAGCACUGACAUUCAGAAAGAUAACUUAACAUUGCCUGGUGUCAGACGUCAGAUGCAAAUAGCACUCGACAUUUCUUUACUUAUACCCAGGUGCUUUGCUUGCAUUGCAAAACUGCUACAUUCAGCGUGGCAUUUUCAGUUCUGAACCAUCCAUGCCUACUGAUGCUCGAAGCAAUCCGAGCAAGCGGGUCAGGAAGAAGUAGAAACAUAGCAUGGGAGGCGAGGCGUCUUUUGGAGAUCCAAGACUCUUGGUUGACGUUGCUGUAAAUGGAUGAUUUCUUAUCAAUAUGCCUGUACGAGCGAGUCCCUUGCUUGAGCUUCGCUCGCAGGCACUUACCACCACAUCACUUGGUUGCUUAUGGGCAACAAUGGCUGCUAUCAGUCAUGUUGCUGUCCAUUUGGACUACCAGGCUACUUGGAUAUAAACCGUCCUUUUGUCAGAUUCAGAUGAUUUAGAUUCAUUUUUUCUUGUCUCAUUUCUUGGUUAAAAUAUGUAUACUAUUCUGUGUUGAGUCCUUGUCCAUUACAUGUGUUCAGGGUACGGGAUCGAUAUCCUGGACUCGGUGCCCCGGAGUGAAAUGGGAAGUCGAAUGGCUUGGCAUGCACACCCUACGAAGCGCUUUUCGCCGUCUUGUUUCUGUUUCGGCCACGGCGAUAUCUGUUUGUAGAGGCUAACAAGUACUUCAUGCCUGGGAUGCUUCCUUUGUAAAUAUAUGGGCGAUUGAUACACUCUCUUCACAUGGUCACUCUCCUGCUUUGUAAUCUUUGAACCUCAUCAGUGUCAGUAUCGUAAUUCGAAAUCUGAUAUAUAUGGAUUGCAUUCGUCGGCUCC